GACGAACGCUGGCGGCGUGCCUAAUACAUGCAAGUCGAGCGGACGGAUGGGAGCUUGCUCCCAGACCGUCAGCGGCGGACGGGUGAGUAACACGUGGGCAACCUGCCUGUAAGACUGGGAUAACUCCGGGAAACCGGGGCUAAUACCGGAUAACUCUUUCCCUCACAUGAGGGAAAGCUGAAAGAUGGCAUCUCGCUAUCACUUACAGAUGGGCCCGCGGCGCAUUAGCUAGUUGGUGAGGUACCGGCUCACCAAGGCGACGAUGCGUAGCCGACCUGAGAGGGUGAUCGGCCACACUGGGACUGAGACACGGCCCAGACUCCUCCGGGAGGCAGCAGUAGGGAAUCUUCCGCAAUGGACGAAAGUCUGACGGAGCAACGCCGCGUGAGUGAUGAAGGUUUUCGGAUCGUAAAACUCUGUUGUCAGGGAAGAACAAGUACCGGAGUAACUGCCGGUACCUUGACGGUACCUGACCAGAAAGCCACGGCUAACUACGUG
rnacentral:rRNA from 1 species